GGUGGGUGGAUUUAUAACUUGCCACCAGAUGCAGCAUAAUUGUCACUCGCCACUCACUGAUAGUGUUUUGAUAUGAGUCUACAAGCGAUUGAUUUAUUAUGGUCUCUGUGUAGUCAGGCCUUUCUGCUCAUGAUAAUCUG